rnacentral:rRNA from 1 species
AUUGAACGCUGGCGGCAUGCUUUACACAUGCAAGUCGAACGGCAGCGCGGGCUUCGGCCUGGCGGCGAGUGGCGAACGGGUGAGUAAUACAUCGUAACGUGCCCAGUAGUGGGGGAUAGCUCGGCGAAAGCCGGAUUAAUACCGCAUACGACCUGAGGGUGAAAGCGGGGGAUCUUCGGACCUCGCGCUAUUGGAGCGGCCGAUGGCAGAUUAGCUAGUUGGUGGGGUAAAGGCCUACCAAGGCGACGAUCUGUAGCUGGUCUGAGAGGACGACCAGCCAAACUGGGACUGAGACACGGCCCAGACUCCUACGGGAGGCAGCAGUGGGGAAUUUUGGACAAUGGGCGAAAGCCUGAUCCAGCAAUGCCGCGUGUGUGAUGAAGGCCUUCGGGUUGUAAAGAACUUUUGGCGGGAAAGAAAAGGACUGUGCCAAUACCACGGUUCGAUGACGGUACCCGCAGAAUAAGCACCGGCUAACUACGUG